UGCAGUCGAGCGGACCGACGGGAGCUUGCUCCCUUAGGUCAGCGGCGGACGGGUGAGUAACACGUGGGUAACCUGCCUGUAAGACUGGGAUAACUCCGGGAAACCGGGGCUAAUACCGGAUGCUUGAUUGAGCCGCAUGGUUCAAUUAUAAAAGGUGGCUUUCAGCUACCACUUGCAGAUGGACCCGCGGCGCAUUAGCUAGUUGGUGAGGUAACGGCUCACCAAAGCGACGAUGCGUAGCCGACCUGAGAGGGUGAUCGGCCACACUGGGACUGAGACACGGCCCAGACUCCUACGGGAGGCAGCAGUAGGGAAUCUUCCGCAAUGGACGAAAGUCUGACGGAGCAACGCCGCGUGAGUGAUGAAGGUUUUCGGAUCGUAAAACUCUGUUGUUAGGGAAGAACAAGUACCGUUCGAAUAGGGCGGCACCUUGACGGUACCUAACCAGAAAGCCACGGCUAACUACGUGCCAGCAGCCGCGGUAAUACGUAGGUGGCAAGCGUUGUCCGGAAUUAUUGGGCGUAAAGCGCGCGCAGGCGGUUUCUUAAGUCUGAUGUGAAAGCCCCCGGCUCAACCGGGGAGGGUCAUUGGAAACUGGGGAACUUGAGUGCAGAAGAGGAGAGUGGAAUUCCACGUGUAGCGGUGAAAUGCGUAGAGAUGUGGAGGAACACCAGUGGCGAAGGCGACUCUCUGGUCUGUAACUGACGCUGAGGCGCGAAAGCGUGGGGAGCGAACAGGAUUAGAUACCCUGGUAGUCCACGCCGUAAACGAUGAGUGCUAAGUGUUAGAGGGUUUCCGCCCUUUAGUGCUGCAGCAAACGCAUUAAGCACUCCGCCUGGGGAGUACGGUC
rnacentral:rRNA from 1 species